ACGCACGCCACCUCCUCCCCACCUUCGCCAGAUACGACCGCCCAUUCAUCGCCGCCACCCAUCGCGUCGCCCGCCCGCGACCUUCUCUCAUCUUCCACCCGCGACGGCUUCCCGUCCACCUUGAGAUGUACGGCGACGGCGUCCCGAUGGAGAACCCUGGCCGCAGCAGGUCGCCGGCGCUCCUCCGCUGCGCGCCCCAGGUGACCCCCACGGAUCCGCGGCGACCACCGAGGACGAGGACGACGACACCCCGCACAUGGUCGAGCUCGACGGAAGAAGGUGCCUUUGUCGCUGUGGUCUUCGCCGGUGUGCUCCACGUCGUGUACGACGGCGACCUCCUAGCUCGGGCUCUUCGUCAAGUUGGUGAUGUUGCCUAGAGUAUCCCGACGACGACGGAGGAGGAGAACAAGGACCACCGCCCCCUAAGGGCUGACGAGAACCAACACCUUCAAGCCGCCAUGGAGCUCCCAUCCCUCCCCUGGAGUGCGUCAAGGUCCUUCUUCCCCUCCCCGCAGCAUGUAUCUCUCCUACUCCAUCAACUCUUGCUGUUCGUGAUGAUAAAUCCCAGCGUUUCUUGCUUUUUUCUGUUAUUAGAGAGUAGGAAACGUUGACACUUUAGGAAUUGCCAUUGUUAUUUACGCAUAGCAAGGAAUCCUGCCAAGAGAGCCUUGGUGAUGGGGUCACAAAGGACAGCAGCAGCAGAAAGAACAUUAACACCUCUAUCUGAAAAACAUCACUAAUUGUUAGCUUUUGGUAGGAAGACAUGUACGUAACCUAAGAUCAGAGUUUAACUAGAUAUAUAUACAACCUAAAGCAAAUCAAGGUUCAGAGAGGCACACUUACCUUUGGCAGCAGCUUUUUCUUGCUGUUGAUGUUGAUGAACACAGCAGUCACACGAAUAGAUAAAGCAUACAUAGAAGGAGAAGCUGUCCAAUAAAACUGAUGCAUGUUGACAGUUCCUCGAGUUCUCUUAAGAUGAUAUAAUUGUUUGGUAGACGCAUGGAUGGAUGGACACGUACAGCUAGCAGCCUAGCAGUGCUAGUCACAAAAGAAAAACCUUGUGAUUGAUUCAUGGUCAUGGCACAACAACAAUGGAUACUUGCUAAUUGGUGAUGGUGGUCGUGCCGCUGCCGCCUUCGGCACCAUCCCAGCUCGCAGCCUCAGUCGAUUUGCUCUGCGUCUCCAACCGUCCAAAGAUCCCAACCCUAUCAUCGUCUCCUACCACGAGCUCGGCAACGAGAUCGGACAUGGCAAGUUCGGCUCCGUUCGGAUCUAUGGUAGGAAGACCUGUGAAAUCCAACUCGCCGUUAGGCCUUUUCUGUCGCCUUCUCUCUGGUGGUCUUGGUUGUUGACCAUGGUUGCCUUGUUUUUGUGCUCGUACAACCGUUCAAGAGGUUCGUGCUGAUCGGGUGGGUGGCCCUGGUGAACUACGGCAAGGACUACGGCCGCCUCGUCGUCAUCGUCGACGUUGUUGACCAGAACAGGAACGUCGAGGACACGGUCCACCGCGAGGUCGAGAUCAUGCAACACCUCUCGGGCCACCCCGCCGUCGUCACGCUGAAGGCCAUCUGCGGUGGUUGCAAAUCGAAGCCUGAAAGGGACAAGGCGGUUGGGAGUCAGGGACUACAUAUCCCUCCUCUCCUUGAUUUUCUGUCCAAAAUAUAAGGAAGACGUAUGGGUUCUCGUCAAAUGCAAGCUGUACUACUGUGAAAAAGUGUACUAAUUUUUGCAGUGCAUUAACUUGAUCAUGGGAUUCUCCGUGAUGGCAGCAAAGAGACAACAUGGGGUGGAGAUGCAGGUCGUCAGUACACUGAAGGCGUUGCGUUCUGUCAGGGCGUUGGGUCCGAUGCAGAGCAUCGGAGACGUUGCCGUUGUCCUUGCACGACUCAUCAGAUCCAACCUCGGGCCCGCGCCAGCUAUGUACGGAGCCCUCGAUACGGUGCUCAGUCUCUGCAACUGCAACUUGAUGCCUUGCAUGAAGCUGCCAGCUAUUGAGGCCCUCUCUUAAUUACCCAGUUCUGAGUGGAGUCAGUUGGGGUCGUCUAUAAAUUUUCUUGUGAUGUGCUUGCAAACCAAGACUUUGUUGAGGCUUUUCUGCGGGGUCAGGGGAGACACCAGUGAUCAAGCGGCAGCGGCCUACAGCCUGGGAGACCUGCACAAGGGAGCCGCCAAGAUCUCCAACGACAUCCUCGACUCUGUCGGGGUUUCAGUAUAUGCAACAACAAAAAAUUCGACAACAGUAUACGCGAAAAAUGGUGCUAUUUGCGUUUGCUGCAAUCUCCUCAUACUUACCAAGGGUUGAGUGCCCAACAUUCCCGAAGAUGGCACCCGAGACGUGUCCGCAGCCAGAAGCAGCGAAGUUGCCGUACAAGAAGCUGGGAGAUUCAGAUCUCCUUAUUAGCGAGAUAACUCUUGGAACAAUGAUCUUUGGAUAGCAAAGAACAGAGAAGGAAUCCCAUGAUAUGCUCUCUUAUUCUUUUAAUCAGGGCAUCAACAUACUGGACACCGCAGAAAUUGCCGACAACUUUGGCUCCAAAGUUUGCUUUAUGUCUUCAGGCUAGAUAGGUAUGUCGCACGUUACGGUGAAUUCAGUUACAAUUCAACCAAAUGGAGGCCAAGCGUCCCAUGUGUGGAUCAAUGGAAAGCUUUCAGGAACUAAUUGGUAAAGGGAAGGUACAAUAUAUCGGUGUUUCCAAUGAAACCACGUACGGAGUAAUGCAGUUUGUACAUGCUGCAAAGCUUGAUGGACUUCCAAAGAUUAUGAGCAUCUAGAAUGGUUAUAGUCAACUUGUGAGAUACAGCUUCGAAGGUGAAACAGAGAUGUCAGCCAUAAUUUAUUCAUUUUCAUUCACUGGAAUUCCAUGCCAUCCCUGUUGUUCUGAAACUUAUUUGCAGACAUGUAAUUUAGAGAAAGAGGGAGGAAAGAACUCCUCGGUUGUAGUUCAGAUCAUCGGCCUGCUGUCAUCUCUUUCAUAAUUAAAAUUUUAGUCGAAUAGUUAUGUUUAGUGGUUAUCAUUCAUCAUCAUCAUGAGAUGAUUUCAUUUUGUGGAUGCUUGAGUUUAGAAAAUUUAGGCUCUGCAGUCCAUCAUCUCUAUAGGUAUAAGUCUUUGUAGGAUGUAAGACUGCUACUCUAUGUUCAUAUAAGCCUACCUAUUAAUAAUAUUUCCGAUUUAUUUUAUAAAUG
rnacentral:rRNA from 1 species